AAUGAACGCUGGCGGCGCGCCUAAUACAUGCAAGUCGAGCGAGAAGACGUAGCAAUACGUUUGUAAAGCGGCGAACGGGUGAGGAAUACAUGGGUAACCUACCCUUGAGUGGGGAAUAACUAGCCGAAAGGUUAGCUAAUACCGCGUACGCUUCUUGGACUUCGGUUCAGGGAGGAAAGCGAUGCCGAGGGUAUCGCGCUCUUGGAUGGGCUCAUGUCCUAUCAGCUUGNGGUGAGGUAACGGCUCACCAAGGCUUCGACGGGUAGCUGGUCUGAGAGGACGAUCAGCCACACUGGCACUGCGACACGGGCCAGACUCCUACGGGAGGCAGCAGUAAGAUAUUGCGCAAUGGGCAAAGCCUGACGCAGCGACGCCGCGUGGGGGAUGAAGGU
rnacentral:rRNA from 1 species